GGGUUCCCUUUCCUGGGCUUUGGUGGGUGGAGAGGUGGGAGCUGGAAUGUUAGUAACUGAGCUCUCUCCAUUCCCAGAGUGCAUGAGCUCGGAGCUGCUGGAGGAGUUGAUGUCCUCAGAAGUGUUUGCCCCUCUGCUCCGUCUUUCUCCACCCCCCGGAGACCACGAUUAUAUCUACAACCUGGACGAUAGUGAAGGUGUCUGUGACCUCUUUGAUGUGCCUGUUCUCAACCUCUGACUGACAGGGACAUGCACUGUGUGGCUGGGACCCAGACUGUCUGACCUGGGGGUUGCCUGGGGACCUCUCCCACCCGACCCCUACAGAGCUUGAGAGCCACAGACGCCUGGCUUCUCCGGUCUCCCCUCACCGCACAGUUCUGGCCACAGCUCCCGCUCCUGUGCUGGCACUUCUGUGCUCGCAGAGCAGGGGAACAGGACUCAGCCCCCAUCACCGUGGAGCCAAAGUGUUUGCUUCUCCCUUUCUGCGGCCUUCACCAGCCCAGGCUCGGCUGCCACCCAGUGGCACAGAACCGAGGAGCUGCCAUUACCCCCCACAGGGGGCAGUGUCUUGCUCCUGCCAGCCUCAGUGUCUUGCUUCUGCCAGCUCCUUCCCCUAGGAGGGAAGGGUGGGGUGGAACUGGGCACAUGCCAGCACCACUUCUAGCUUCCUUCGCUAUCCCCCACCCCCUGACCCUCCAGCUCCUCCUGGCCCUCUCACGUGCCCACUUCUGCUGGGCCUUUAGCCCUAGAACCUGCAGGUGGUGGGGGCGGCUACCAAGAAGGAACAGAGGUCUCUGGGGAGGAGUCUGGGUGGUCCAGCCCUGAUGAUUGGCCCCACCUCCUGCUGCCCCAUAACCCUCUCUUCAUUUCGGCUUUUUCAUUUACCCUCAUUUAGAGCCAUUUGCAGAGAUUUAGAAAGAUUUACAGUAACGAAUGGAUUCCUAUA
rnacentral:lncRNA from 1 species